rnacentral:rRNA from 1 species
CCUACGGGAGGCAGCAGUGGGGAAUAUUGCACAAUGGGGGAAACCCUGAUGCAGCGACGCCGCGUGAGUGAAGAAGUAUUUCGGUAUGUAAAGCUCUAUCAGCAGGGAAGAAAUAGCGACCUUUGGGUCGCCAGACGGUACCUGAUUAAGAAGCCCCGGCUAACUACGUGCCAGCAGCCGCGGUAAUACGUAGGGGGCAAGCGUUAUCCGGAUUUACUGGGUGUAAGGGGAGCGUAGACGGCAGCGCAAGUCUGAAGUGAAAUGCCGGGACUUAACCCCGGAACUGCUUGGGAAACUGUGCAGGGAGAGGGCAGGAGAGGUAAGUGGAAUUCCUGGGGGAGCGGUGAAAGGCGUAGAUAUUAGGAGGAACACCAGUGGCGAAGGCGGCUUACUGGACUGUAACUGACGUUGAGGCUCGAAAGCGUGGGGAGCAAACAGGAUUAGAUACCCGGGUAGUC